rnacentral:rRNA from 1 species
AUGCAAGGUCAUUUUGGAGGCUGUGAUUCUUACAACGGUGGUUGCUUGAGCCUCACUCCUUACACCUUCUGGGCUGUAAAGAGGGGCAAGGACUUCAGCUUCCUUGGUCCUUUCUUAUUUGCUUCUCUCAUCAUGUUGCUCAUCUUUGGGUUCGUUCAGGUCAGAUAUGAUGCCCAUUUAUCAGGCUUCUCUAUUCUACAAUCAAUCAAUACUGAUGAUGGCUUCUCUAAAUAUACGGAUCUUCUUCCCGCUGGGCAAGCUCUCUCACAUGAUCUAUGGCGCGCUGGCGGCACUCAUCUUCAGUGGCUACAUUGUCUAUGA